rnacentral:rRNA from 1 species
UACGGAGGGUGCAAGCGUUAUCCGGAUUUACUGGGUUUAAAGGGUGUGUAGGCGGGUCUUUAAGUCAGUGGUGAAAUCUCCGAGCUCAACUUGGAAACUGCCAUUGAUACUAUUGAUCUUGAAUUUUGUUGAGGUAGGCGGAAUAAGUCAUGUAGCGGUGAAAUGCAUAGAUAUGACUUAGAACACCAAUUGCGAAGGCAGCUUACUAAGCAAAUAUUGACGCUGAGGCACGAAAGCGUGGGGAGUCAAACAGGA